GAUGAACGCUGGCGGCGUGCCUAAUACAUGCAAGUCGAGCGAACAGACGAGGAGCUUGCUCCUCUGACGUUAGCGGCGGACGGGUGAGUAACACGUGGAUAACCUACCUAUAAGACUGGGAUAACUUCGGGAAACCGGAGCUAAUACCGGAUAAUAUAUUGAACCGCAUGGUUCAAUAGUGAAAGACGGUUUUGCUGUCACUUAUAGAUGGAUCCGCGCCGCAUUUGCUAGUUGGUAAGGUAACGGCUUACCAAGGCAACGAUACGUAGCCGACCUGAGAGGGGGAUCGGCAACACUGGAACUGAGACACGGUCCAGACUCCUGCGGGAGGAAGCAGUAGGGAAUCUUCCGAAAUGGGCGAAAGCCGGACGGGGAAACGCCGCGUGAGUGAUGAAGGUCUUCGGAUCGUAAAACUCUGUUAUUAGGGAAGAACAAAUGUGUAAGUAACUAUGCACGUCUUGACGGUACCUAAUCAGAAAGCCACGGCUAACUACGUG
rnacentral:rRNA from 1 species